AUGCCGAGGAAGCGCAAAGGAGAUGGUGAUGGAAUCGAUGAGGUUCCUUUGAAAAAGGCGAAACACCCUCCUCCACGGAACAGAGCCUCACCUAGUUCGCUUCUUCUAGCAUGCAAGGACAUGAAUGAUGACAGGAAGGCUGCCAUUGAUGAUAUGGAUUUAACUAGCCUUCGGAAUAUCCAGUGUGACCAUCUAUUCAACAAUCUCAGUGUGUGGCUUGCUGAUCUCUACGACCCCAAUUCGCGUGAGGUGGUCAUACCAGGCCGAGGCAGGCUUCCGGUCAAUGAGGAAUAUGUGCAUCGUGUUAUGGGCGUGCCGCAUGGAGGGAAGUAUGUCCCUUACAACCUCCCUACUGAAGCUGAUAUUGAGUUAGGGCUUGAGUUGUUUGGCGAGCUUGGAUAUGCCCCUAAAAUGACUGAACUCGUUGAUCUCAUAAAGGGUUCUGAAAAUUCUGAUGAUACUUUCAAGCAUAUGUGGCUUCUGCUUGCAGGGAAUACAGUCAUUGCCCCGACCACCUCCAACAAAGUUAGCCCCCGAUGGUAUGUUGUGCUGUGUGACAUCGAUGGUAUUAAAAAUCUCAAUUGGUCCAAAUUUAUUGCUGAUGAACUACACAAGGCGCUGCUGAAACGCAAGCCUACCAGGGGUUGCCUUCUCUUCUACAAUUUGAAGCCUAAGUUUGGCAUGAAUUUCUGUCUGUUUGGUGGUCUGGAAGGUCUUGACAAGUUUAUGCGUGUUCAUACUGCCCCAAGCUACAGUCUGGAGAAAUUUGCCAAAUCAACUCAGAUAGUUGCUCGGUUCACGUCCGCCAUGGCUGGCAUCCUAGGAAAUCUUGUGGAAUCAUUCACCGCUUUAUAUGAUGAGGGCCAUUCAGAUGCAUCCCGUCAUCUAGACGCUGGAUUGAACGUUCUCUCUUCUGCCGCUCAUACGACGACAAGGACUACGCACUCAUCGCAAGGCAGGCGGCCAGAAAGCCCUGGAAAGAAUGUUCCUGAAGAUUUUGAUAGUGAUGAGGAGUAUCACGGAGGCAAUGAUUCUGAUUCUGACGCUGACUCCGAUGAUGAUGACGAUUUUAAUGAUAUGGACUAUCGAGUUGUUCGUCAUCGCCGUAAAGAUCCUUUUGUUGUUUCAGGCAGUGGUACCGUGGAUGUAGAUAUGGGCAGCGGUCCAGCUGAUGAUGACACCACACAUCUUGAUGGUGUAACUGUCAAAGCUCAUGAUGGCACAGGACCAGAUGUUGAAGACACGCCUGUCCGCCCUGUCAAUGAUAACCUCAAUGAGUCUCAAAUCUUACUCACUGGCACAUCUCAUGCAGCAUCUGUCGAAUCAGGUGAUGGAGGGCUCAGCCAGCAAGUUGUGCCUCCCAGCCCAUCGCAAAGGUUGUCUUCACCAAUUGCACUGUCAGCAUCUGAGAUUAAUUUAGCUAUGAAGAAAGUUGUGGUCCAGGAGCUUGGUAUACUUGUGGCUGAAAAAGGAACCGGUGUCUCCUAUGAAACAAGUAUACCAGCAAGAUGUGCACCUAUGAAACAAGUUGCUGCUGCUAAGGGUUCACCAAGUGUAUCAGGAAAAAGUCGUUCAAAAGAUAAAACUGCUGUGAAAAAGGUGAAAUUCGCCAAGACCAGAUCCUCUUCACGACUAAGGGCAACAUUGUCGCAGACAAUGUCAUCGGAGACAACAGAAGUUAUCCAUCUUGAUGAAUCUCCCACGGCGACAUCUCCGUCUGAAAAAGCAGCAGCAUCUAGCAAGGGCGCAUCUGAUGUUGUUGCGGCGACAUCGGCUGGUGUUUCUGAUGAUGCUGUUUUUCAGCUUGCUGCAACGACAACUGUUACUGUUGUUGUUGAAGAUAUCGCCAGCGUGGCUGUGGCUGUUGAAUGUGAAAAUGAAGUCGUCCCAAAUAUAGUGCAUGAUGGAAGUGAAGCCGUUCAUGUCUCUGAGAAAGUUGUGGGAGGUACCCAAGUCAAUAUGCCUAUUGAUACGGCUACAGCUGGAGGUCAAGAGAAUGAUGCCCAUAAUCCUGUUGGCACAGCAGUAUCUGACCCUACGUUGGAGUCGAGCACCCCUGAAGCUGGAGAAUACGAUGGUAAUUUUAUGCCACUCAGCUGCUCUAUUGGGCUUGAUGCCAUCUUUGCAUUGGCUCAAGUACCACCUGCAGCACCACAAGCAUCGGCGGCGGUGCCAUCUGUCCAAGUACCAUCUGCAGCACCAGAAGCACCUGCGGCAGCGCCAUCUGCUCAAGUACCACCUGCAGCACCAGAAGCACCUACGGCGGCGCCAUCGGCUCAAGUACCAUCUGCAGCAUCAGAAGCACAUCCGGCGAUGCCAUCGGCUCAAGUACCACCUGCAGCACCAGCUACUGGCCCUGUCGCUGUUCUAGGGCUCGCAUCUCCUGUUGAUGCUGGCUCGAAGGGCAAGGCAGUGGUAAAAGUUACCAAGGCGCAACCGGUUGCUUGGGCUCCGCCACCCAACUCUGUAAUACCGGAAGCUGGUCGUGUGCAAGUGUAUGAUGUUGAGAUUGACGAUGAUGAUGUUCUCAUGUGGUGGGAAGAAUUUGAGCAUGACAAUCCAGCAUUAAAAGGGAAAUCUAAUGUUCAAAUAGACAACCCUCAAAGUCCAACAUUUGUUACACCAGAGUUACCACCUCGCACAGAGCAUUUAGUACGCAGUUCAACCCCUAAAUCCUUUAUUCGGAAAGUUAGGGUCACCCACCCGUCCAAAUACAUGCUCCCGCCUUUUGCCACCCUCACACCGAGCGAGGAGGAAGAUGUUAGGGUCAUCGACAUUGAUGGUAGGUGGGUCACCCUCGAUGAGCUUGCCAACUGUGUGAAGGGAGUUGGGCAACUAUCAACCAGCAUUGCCGAGUUACAUGUUCGCAUUCUCCAGUAUAAGGAAACGCCAAACAGGCUCAUCUUCCCUUGGCUGCUAUCUGUGUAUCUGUCGAUAGGAGACUUCAAAUCCAAGUGUGUAUUGAAGUAUUUUCGACGGGACAAGUCUUACAUUCUUAGUCACCAGCAUCAGCUGCUAUUCCCUGCUUUGCGAAAGUUGGGCCUCGGUCCAGAUGACUGGCAUUGGUAUGUGUUGUCACUAAAUCUUAGGGCGAAGAGGUUUGAAGUUCUAGAUUCAUUGCGUGAACAAGAUAGUCCUUCUCUUCUCGAGCAUGCGACAAGAUACAUGAAUGCUAUAAAGAAGGCUUGGUUGAUAAAUUACAAGGACUCGCAUAAGCAGAUUCAGGACUAUGAACUUGUGUACAUUGAUGUGUUGAAACAGCAUAAUGGCAUUGAUUGCGGAUUUUUCGCCUGCACGUACCUUGAGGUGUGGGAUGGCAAAAAUAUUCCAGCCUUAACUCAUGAACAAAUUCCAGCUCUCCGGAAAAUUAUGACAUUGAGGUGGUUAGAUCAUUAUCAAAACAAAUGCAAACAGUGGUGUUAUCAUCUGUUCGGCAACGGGUGA
rnacentral:rRNA from 1 species